GACGAACGCUGGCGGCGUGCCUAAUACAUGCAAGUUGAACGCUUCUUUCUUAUCGAACUUCGGUUCACCAAGAAAGAAGAGUAGCGAACGGGUGAGUAACACGUGGGUAACCUGCCCAUCAGCGGGGGAUAACACUUGGAAACAGGUGCUAAUAUCGCAUAAUACUUUUUCUCUCAUGUGUGAAAGUUGAAAGGCGCUUUGGCGUCACUGAUGGAUGGACCCGCGGUGCAUUAGCUAGUUGGUAGGGUAACGGCCUACCAAGGCAACGAUGCAUAGCCGAACGGAGAGGGUGAGCGGCCACACUGGGACUGAGACACGGCCCAGACUCCUACGGGAGGCAGCAGUAGGGAAUCUUCGGCAAUGGACGAAAGUCUGACCGAGCAACGCCGCGUGAGUGAAGAAGGUUUUCGGAUCGUAAAACUCUGUUGUUAGAGAAGAACAAGGUUGAGAAGAGAAUGUUCAUCCCUUGACGGUAUCUAACCAGAAAGCCACGGCUAACUACGUGCCAGCCGCCGCAGUAA
rnacentral:rRNA from 1 species